GGCCUGUUAGCUCAGUUGGUUAGAGCGCCGUGCUAAUAACGGAGGUCAUGAGUUCGAUCCUCUUACGGGCCA
rnacentral:tRNA from 1 species